rnacentral:rRNA from 1 species
AUUGAACGCUGGCGGCAGGCCUAACACAUGCAAGUCGAGCGGAUGAAGGGAGCUUGCUCCUGGAUUCAGCGGCGGACGGGUGAGUAAUGCCUAGGAAUCUGCCUGGUAGUGGGGGAUAACGUCCGGAAACGGGCGCUAAUACCGCAUACGUCCUGAGGGAGAAAGUGGGGGAUCUUCGGACCUCACGCUAUCAGAUGAGCCUAGGUCGGAUUAGCUAGUUGGUGGGGUAGAGGCCUACCAAGGCGACGAUCCGUAACUGGUCUGAGAGGAUGAUCAGUCACACUGGAACUGAGACACGGUCCAGACUCCUACGGGAGGCAGCAGUGGGGAAUAUUGGACAAUGGGCGAAAGCCUGAUCCAGCCAUGCCGCGUGUGUGAAGAAGGUCUUCGGAUUGUAAAGCACUUUAAGUUGGGAGGAAGGGCAGUAAGUUAAUACCUUGCUGUUUUGACGUUACCACCAGAAUAAGCACCGGCUAACUUCGUG